rnacentral:rRNA from 1 species
UACGUAGGGGGCAAGCGUUACCCGGAUUCAUUGGGCGUAAAGAGCGUGUAGGCGGCCACUUAAGUCCUGCGUGAAAUCUUGCGGCUCAACCGCAAGCGGUCGUGGGAAACUGGGUGGCUAGAGUGCGGGAGAGGAGAGUGGAAUUCCUGGUGUAGCGGUGGAAUGCGCAGAUAUCAGGAAGAACACCCGUGGCGAAGGCGGCUCUCUGGAACGCAACUGACGCUGAGACGCGAAAGCGUGGGGAGCAAACAGG